CCCACUCGGCCACGCUGCUUCCGUAACACUCCUCCAUUCCUCCCGACCCCCCCACCAGAUCUCAUCUCUUCUAACGGUGGGAAAGUAUUCUCUGUCCACAGAAUGCUUCGUUAGGGAUUUAGGAUGUAAAUCCAGCCUAGAAGAACCGUCCUUUUCGCCUACCGCCUCUAAUGACCGUUUCCAUUCCGACCCACAGGGACGCCGCGGACACGUCUCCCCCAGAACUCCCCAUCUCCGUCUGCAAUCGUUCUGCAGGCUCAACCACUUACUUCACCCCGGCACAGGACCCGUUUACAAUCCGAAAAUGGCCACGCCCUCCCCUCAACAACAACCAGCUACCCAGUUUUCUCCGACUCUUCCGACUGCGUUAGUGUAAGAAACCAUGGUUGGACUAUUAUCUCCGGAGUGCGGUCCAAUCAAUCAAUCAAUCAAUCAAUCAAUCUAAUUAUUCUCCUUGAACAUUCAUAAAGGACUGGCUUAAUUCUCAA